UUCAUGUGACUGAGCGGCGGACGGGUGAGUAACGCGUGGGCAACCUGCCUUACACCGGGGGAUAACAGUUAGAAAUGACUGCUAAUACCGCAUAAGACCCCGGGACCGCAUGGUUCCGAGGUAAAAACUCCGGUGGUGUAAGAUGGGCCCGCGUCUGAUUAGGUAGUUGGCGGGGUAACGGCCCACCAAGCCGACGAUCAGUAGCCGACCUGAGAGGGUGACCGGCCACAUUGGGACUGAGACACGGCCCAGACUCCUACGGGAGGCAGCAG
rnacentral:rRNA from 1 species